GAUGAAGAACGUAGCGAAAUGCGAUAAGUAGUGUGAAUUGCAGAAUUCAGUGAAUCAUCGAAUCUUUGAACGCAUCUUGCGCUCCUUGGUAUUCUGAGGAGCAUGCCUGUUUGAGUGUCAUUAAAUUCUCAACCGCACUGACUUUGAAUUGGUGUGGCUUGGAUUUGGGGGGAAAAUCGUUGUGGGCUUUUUUGUAUAGUCUGCUCCCCUGAAAUUGAUUAGCGGUACCUUUGUGGAACUGUCUACAGGUGUGAUAAUUAUCUACAUCCUAGACAUCUGCUGGAAUGCUGCUUUCUAAACCUUACUUGUAUUGACAAUCUUGACCUCAAAUCAGGUAGGACUACCCGCUGAACUUAAGCAUAUCAAUAAGCGGAGGA
rnacentral:misc_RNA from 1 species